GCGGAGGGCUGGUAGCAAAGAAAUAAACGCUCCCAUGUGUAGGGAAAAUUAGCUGUGUGCGUUGCAAAAAGAAAUCACACUUAAAAUUCCUGUAUUAACAGAUAAAAUUCUCUCCCAAAGAAAUGUUUUGAGAAACUGAAGAAGCAUUUGUAAGAUUAAUGUCACAGCGAUGAUGAUGUGCCGUUCAGAGAUUUGAAGGCUCUGCUAAAACGUUUUUCUGUCCUGGAAUUUGAGGCUUAACGCUGUACUAGUUUCAUCCAAUUCAAGGGCCUCUACCUAGAAAACUGAAAACAGUCUGUAUCUUCUCCACUCUCCGAGCAGGAUGAUGACGGGGGUAGCUUUGAGGAGGCAGACUGUCCCUUUUCAGUGUCUGUCAGCGCAGUCAGCAGCUUAAUGGUAUUCUGAACGCUUAGCGUUCAGUGCUCUCCCAGAUUUCUCCCGAUAUGCUAAGCUACUGUUUGCUCAGAAAUACUAUGAAAAGCAGGUUUGAAUCAAGCUUCUUAAAAAUUAUGUUAGUGCGUAUAUAAUCAUUUACACAUUCGAGUGGCGAAUUACUCAAAGUCUCUUAUUGGAGUACGUGGAAUAAAUCCACAGCCCCGUAGUCAAGUUGUUUUUCC
rnacentral:lncRNA from 1 species